GUCCACGCCGUAAACGAUGAGUGCUAAGUGUUAGGGUUUCCGCCCUUAGUGCUGCAGCUAACGCAUUAAGCACUCCGCCUGGGAGUACGGCCGCAAGGCUGAAACUCAAAGGAAUUGACGGGGCCCGCACAAGCGGUGGAGCAUGUGGUUUAAUUCGAAGCAACGCGAAGAACCUUACCAGGUCUUGACAUCCUCUGACAACCCUAGAGAUAGGGCGUUCCCCUUCGGGGGACAGAGUGACAGGUGGUGCAUGGUUGUCGU
rnacentral:rRNA from 1 species